CCUACGGGGUGCAGCAGUGGGGAAUAUUGCACAAUGGGCGCAAGCCUGAUGCAGCGACGCCGCGUGAGGGAUGACGGCCUCCGGGUUGUAAACCUCUUUCAGCAGGGAAGAAGCGAAAGUGACGGUACCUGCAGAAGAAGCGCCGGCUAACUACGUGCCAGCAGCCGCGGUAAUACGUAGGGCGCAAGCGUUGUCCGGAAUUAUUGGGCGUAAAGAGCUCGUAGGCGGCUUGUCACGUCGGGUGUGGAAGCCCGGGGCUUAACCCCGGGUCUGCAUUCGAUACGGGCUAGCUAGAGUGUGGUAGGGGAGAUCGGAAUUCCUGGUGUAGCGGUGAAAUGCGCAGAUAUCAGGAGGAACACCGGUGGCGAGGGCGGAUCUCUGGGCCAUUACUGACGCUGAGGAGCGAAAGCGUGGGGAGCGAAUAGGAUUAGAUACCCCUGUAGUC
rnacentral:rRNA from 1 species